CCUACGGGUGGCAGCAGUGGGGAAUAUUGGGCAAUGGGCGCAAGCCUGACCCAGCAACGCCGCGUGAAGGAAGAAGGCUUUCGGGUUGUAAACUUCUUUUCUGAGGGACGAAGAGAGUGACGGUACCUCAGGAAUAAGCCACGGCUACCUACUUUCAACCAGCCGCGGUAAUACGUAGGUGGCAAGCUUUAUCCGGAUUUAUUGGGUGUAAAGGGCGUGUAGGCGGGAAAGCAAGUCAGAUGUGAAAACUAAGGGCUCAACCCUGGGCCUGCAUUUGAAACUGUUUUUCUUGAGUGCUUGCGAGGCAAUCGGAAUUCCGUGUGUAGCGGUGAAAUGCGUAGAUAUAAGGAGGAACACCAGUGGCGAAGGCGGAUUGCUGGACAGUAACUGACGCUGAGGCGCGAAAGCGUGGGGAGCAAACAGGAUUAGAUACCCGGGUAGUC
rnacentral:rRNA from 1 species